UACGAAGGGGGCUAGCGUUGCUCGGAAUCACUGGGCGUAAAGGGUGCGUAGGCGGUCUUUUAAGUCAGGGGUGAAAUCCUGGAGCUCAACUCCAGAACUGCCUUUGAUACUGAAGAUCUUGAGUUCGGGAGAGGUGAGUGGAACUGCGAGUGUAGAGGUGAAAUUCGUAGAUAUUCGCAAGAACACCAGUGGCGAAGGCGGCUCACUGGCCCGAUACUGACGCUGAGGCACGAAAGCGUGGGGAGCAAACAGG
rnacentral:rRNA from 1 species